AUUGAACGCUGGCGGCAGGCCUAACACAUGCAAGUCGAGCGGAUGAAGGGAGCUUGCUCCUGGAUUCAGCGGCGGACGGGUGAGUAAUGCCUAUGAAUCUGCCUGGUCUUGGGGGAUAACGUCCGGAAACGGGCGCUAAUACCGCAUACGUCCUGAGGGAGAAAGUGGGGGAUCUUCGGACCUCACGCUAUCAGAUUAGCCUAGGUCGGUUUAGCUAGUUGGUGGGGUAAAGGCCUACCAAGGCGACGAUCCGUAACUGGUCUGAGAGGAUGAUCAGUCACACUGGAACUGAGACACGGUCCAGACUCCUACGGGAGGCAGCAGUGGGGAAUAUUGGACAAUGGGCGAAAGCCUGAUCCAGCCAAGCCGCGUGUGUGAAGAAGGUCUUCGGAUUGUAAAGCACUUUAAGUUGGGAGGAAGGGCAGUAAGUUAAUACCUUGCUGUUUUGACGUUACCAACAGAAUAAGCACCGGCUAACUUCGUG
rnacentral:rRNA from 1 species